rnacentral:lncRNA from 1 species
GCAAUAGCCAGGCUGCACAACAUUUCAAUUAAACGAAGGAAUCUGAUACAACAAGUACAAUGGUAGCCUUUGCAAAAAGAAACAAAACAAAGAAAACCUAGACAAUCAAAACGUGCCAACAGCAACAAAAAUGCACAAUAAAGAGCACCGUCAAUGCAAUCGAAAGGCGAUGAUCAGCCGAGCCCACCCGGAUAAUCUGUCAUCGCCAUAGCCAA